CUCACCACUAUGACUGUUCCUCUGGAGAUACAACUCACCACUAUAACUGUUCCUCUGGGGAUACAACUGACCACUAUGACUGUUCCUCUGGAGAUACAACUCACCACUAUGACUGUACUCUGUCUGGAGAUACAACUCACCACUAUAACUGUUCCUCUGUCUGGAGAUACAACUCACCACUAUGACUGUCCCUCUGUCUGGAGAUACAACUCACCACUAUAACUGUUCCUCUGUCUGGAGAUACAACUCACCACUAUAACUGUUCCUCUGUCUGGAGAUACAACUCACCACUAUGACUGUUCCUCUGUCUGGAGAUACAACUCACCACUAUAACUGUUCCUCUGGAGAUACAACUCACCACUAUAACUGUUCCUCUGUCUGGAGAUACAACUCACCACUAUAACUGUUCCUAUGUCUGGAGAUACAACUCACCACUAUAACUAACUGUUCCUCUGGAGAUACAACUCACCACUAUAACUGUUCCUAUGUCUGGAGAUACAACUCACCACUAUAACUGUCCCUCUGUCUGGAGAUACAACUCACCACUAUAACUGUUCCUCUGGAGAUACAACUCACCACUAUAACUGUUCCUCUGGAGAUACAACUCACCACUAUAACUGUUCCUCUGGGGAUACAACUCACCACUAUGACUGUUCCUCUGGAGAUACAACUCACCACUAUAACUGUUCCUCUGUCUGGAGAUACAACUCACCACUAUAACUGUACCUCUGUCUGGAGAUACAACUCACCACUAUAACUGUUCCUCAGGAGAUACAACUCACCACUAUAACUGUACCUCUGUCUGGAGAUACAACUCACCACUAUAACUGUUCCUCAGGAGAUACAACUCACCACUAUAACUGUUCCUCUGGAGAUACAACUCACCACUAUAACUGUUCCUCUGUCUGGAGAUAUAACUCACCACUAUAACUGUACCUCUGUCUGGAGAUACAACUCACCACUAUAACUGUUCCUCUGUCUGGAGAUACAACUCACCAAAUCAAAUCAAAUUUAUUUAUAUAGCCCUUCGUACAUCAGCUGAUAUCUCAAAGUGCUGUACAGAAACCCAGCCUAAAACCCCAAACAGCAAGCAAUGCAG
ensembl:lncRNA